CCUACGGGGGGCAGCAGUGAGGAAUAUUGGUCAAUGGGCGUAAGCCUGAACCAGCCAAGUCGCGUGAGGGAUGAAGGUUCUAUGGAUCGUAAACCUCUUUUAUAAGGGAAUAAAGUGUGGGACGUGUCCUGUUUUGUAUGUACCUUAUGAAUAAGGAUCGGCUAACUCCGUGCCAGCAGCCGCGGUAAUACGGAGGAUCCGAGCGUUAUCCGGAUUUAUUGGGUUUAAAGGGUGCGUAGGCGGCCUUUUAAGUCAGCGGUGAAAGUCUGUGGCUCAACCAUAGAAUUGCCGUUGAAACUGGGAGGCUUGAGUAUGGUUGAGGCAGGCGGAAUGCGUGGUGUAGCGGUGAAAUGCUUAGAUAUCACGCAGAACCCCGAGUGCGAAGGCAGCCUGCCAAGCCAUGACUGACGCUGAUGCACGAAAGCGUGGGGAUCAAACAGGAUUAGAUACCCCAGUAGUC
rnacentral:rRNA from 1 species